rnacentral:tRNA from 1 species
GGUUGUGGCUCAGUGGUAGAGCAUGUGCCUAGCACGUGUAAGGCACUGGGUUCGAUCCCCAGCACCA